rnacentral:tmRNA from 1 species
GGGGAUGUCAUGGGUUCGACAUGGCAUACUUAGUCUAUGAUUGCAGUGGUCUGGUAAACCUUAAUACUACUAGGUUUGACAAAAUGCAAACAAAAACGAAAAAAACGAAGAAUUCGCAAUGCCAGCUUUCAUGAUGAACAAUCAAUUCGCUGGUGCACAAUUAGCUGCUUAAUAUAAAAUAAAACUACAAAGUUUUAAGUAAUUCGAUCUAAAACAUUUAAGUAGAUUUUAAUGUUCUAGAUUUUACCCAAAUCUACUAGAAACUAUGAUUGUAAUAAAUAGUUUUGAAAUUUAAUUACAAACGAUUCUUAAAUCCUUCGUUGGUUUCAAUUUAUUAAUCGUAUGUUAGGAAACUAACUAAACUUGUAGAAGUUAUAGACUGAGAUACUGUGGACGCGGGUUCGAUUCCCGCCAUCUCCACCA